GACGAACGCUGGCGGCGUGCCUAAUACAUGCAAGUUGAGCGCUGAAGGUUGGUACUUGUACCAACUGGAUGAGCAGCGAACGGGUGAGUAACGCGUGGGGAAUCUGCCUUUGAGCGGGGGACAACAUUUGGAAACGAAUGCUAAUACCGCAUAAAAACUUUAAACACAAGUUUUAAGUUUGAAAGAUGCAAUUGCAUCACUCAAAGAUGAUCCCGCGUUGUAUUAGCUAGUUGGUGAGGUAAAGGCUCACCAAGGCGAUGAUACAUAGCCGACCUGAGAGGGUGAUCGGCCACAUUGGGACUGAGACACGGCCCAAACUCCUACGGGAGGCAGCAGUAGGGAAUCUUCGGCAAUGAACGAAAGUCUGACCGAGCAACGCCGCGUGAGUGAAGAAGGUUUUCGGAUCGUAAAACUCUGUUGGUAGAGAAGAACGUUGGUGAGAGUGGAAAGCUCAUCAAGUGACGGUAACUACCCAGAAAGGGACGGCUAACUACGUG
rnacentral:rRNA from 1 species